rnacentral:rRNA from 1 species
AUGCAGCUUCACCGCGUCUCCUGCCCCUCGACCAAGGAUCUGGGAAAGACGGGGCGGCUCCCUCUCAGAUCUGGCCUCUCCCUCGGCUCCCCCUCUAGAACGACGGCUCCUCCCCCGUCUCUCUCUCGUCAAGCAGCAGCUGAUUUCUCCCUCCUCCCGUUCCUCUCACCCAGCAGCAACAAUGGCAUGUUAGAUGCAGCCGAUUUGUUGGGAAGUAGAGCAGAUAAGCGGCGGUCGGCUCGGCUCGUCUCCUUCCCAGCAGUUAGCCGGCCGGUGGCAUCCACACACCUAGGCGGUAGCAGCACCAACCAGGGAGCAGCCAGUUCGGCAAGCAGCAAGAGAAUCAUCAGCGGCGACAAGAGCAAGCUUCUUCGAUUGGCUCUUUCUAACUUGGCAUUCUCCGUCCAAUAA